CCCCUAGACGUUCUGGGCUGCACACGCGCUACAAUAAUACGCACAGCGAGUAUCACCGAGCUCGAAAGGGCAAGGUAAACAAUAGAAAAGGUACUGUAAUGGUUAUAGAUCCUUGUAAUUAUUGAUCUUCAACGAGGAAUUCCUAGUAAGUAUGUGUCAUCAUCACGCACUGAUUACGUCCCUGCCCUUUGUACACACCGCCCGUCGCUCCUACCGAUUGGGUGAGCCGAUGAAACUCUCGGAUGUAGGCUAUUCAUAGCCCGCAGAAGAGAUUUGAAUCGUAGCGCUUAGAGGAAGGAGAAGUCGUAACA
rnacentral:rRNA from 1 species